rnacentral:rRNA from 1 species
ACGCUCGACACCUACUGGAGGCAGCAGUGGGGAAUAUUGCACAAUGGGGGAAACCCUGAUGCAGCGACGCCGCGUGAGCGAAGAAGUAUUUCGGUAUGUAAAGCUCUAUCAGCAGGGAAGAAACUGACGGUACCUGACUAAGAAGCACCGGCUAAAUACGUGCCAGCAGCCGCGGUAAUACUGAGGCGGGCGUGGCGAAGGACG